UCCUCUAUAUAUAAUGGAACGCCAGCUUCUAUCUCAAGAUUCAAUUAAGGCAUUCUCUCUUUCUUCACAAAUCACAAUCAUUCAUUUGAUUGAAUCAAAAGAAGUGAGAAAGAGCAAUUACAACAAUGGCUGAUCAACUCACCGAUGAACAAAUCUCAGAAUUUAAGGAAGCCUUCAGUUUGUUCGACAAGGAUGGCGAUGGUUGAUACAACACUUAUUGGGAGUCGAAGUAGGCAUUCUUUAUCAUUUCCUCACCAGAUAGAUACCCUUGGUGAAUAUCAUAAAAGAAGUUUCAGGAUGGAAACAUGAAUAAUCUGCAAGCAGAAUGAUUAGUGAAUUAAACAUAUAAGAACAAGUAAAGAAGCAAAAUCUCUCAUAUGCAUAUGCAUUAGCAACCUCUAUUAAAGUUCUUUAUUUACAUCUUCCUGAAUACGAACAUGUUGUCAUAAAGCCAAAAUAAGUGAUGUUGCUUAAUGCAUUUGG